rnacentral:rRNA from 1 species
GAUGAACGCUAGCGGCACGCCUAAUACAUGCUAGUCGGACGGGAUCUAUAUCUAAGCUUGCUUACAUUUAGUGAGAGUGGCGCACGGGUGCGUAACGCGUGAGCAACCUACCCAUAUCACGGGGAUAGGCCGGACAAAUCCGGAUUAAUACCGCAUAACACGACGACUCGGCAUCGAGAUGUUGUUAAAUAUUUAUAGGAUAUGGAUGGGCUCGCGUGACAUUACCUAGUUGGCAAGGUAACGGCUUACCAAGGCUACGAUGUCUAGGGGCUCUGAUAGGAUAAUCCCCCACACUGGUACUGAGACACGGACCACACUCCUACGGGAGGCAUCAGUAAGGAAUAUUGGCCGAUGGAAGGAACUCUGAACCAUCCAUGCCGCGUGCAGGAUGACUGCCCUAUGGGUUGGAAACUGCUUUUGUCCAGAAAUAACCACCACUACCUGUAGUGUGUUGAAUGCACUGGAAGAAUAAUGAUCGGCUAACUCCGUGCCAGCACCCGCGGUAAUACGGACGAUCCGAGCGAUAUCCGGAUUUAUUGGGUUUAAAGGGUGCGUAAGCUGGCUCAUUAAGUCAGGGGUGAAAGACUGCAGCUCAACUGUCGCAGUGCCUUUGAUACUGAUGAGCUUGAAUGUGGAUUGAAGAUGGCGGAUUGAGACAAGUAGCGGUGAAAUGCAUAGAUAUGUCUCAAAACUCCGAUUGCGAAGGCAGCUGUCUAAGUCAUUAUUGACGCUGAUGCACGAAAGCGUGGGGAUCGAACAGGAUUAGAUACCCUGGUAGUUCACGCCCUAAACGAUGAUAACUCGAUGUUGGCGAUACACAGUCAGCGUCUUAGCGAAAGCGUUAAGUUAUCCACCUGGGGAGUACGCCCGCAAGGGUGAAACUCAAAGGAAUUGACGGGGGCCCGCACAAGCGGAGGAGCAUGUGGUUUAAUUCUAUGAUACGCGAGGAACCUUACCCGGGCUUGAAAGUUACUGAAUUAUCUAGAGAUAGAUAAGUCCUUCGGGACAGGAAAGUAGGUGCUGCAUGGCUGUCGUCAGCUCGUGCCGUGAGGUGUUGGGUUAAGUCCCGCAACGAGCGCAACCCCUAUGUUUAGUAGCCAGCAUGUAAUGAUGGGGACUCUAAACAGACUGCCAGCGUAAGCUGUGAGGAAGGUGGGGACGACGUCAAGUCACCAUGGUCCUUACGUCCGGGGCUACACACGUGCUACAAUGGAUGGUACAGCGGGCAGCUACCUGGUAAUCAGGAUGCUAAUCUGGAAAAGCCAUUCACAGUUCUGGAUUGAGGUCUGCAACUCGCCGUCAUGAAGUUGGAUUCACUAGUAAUCGCGUAUCAGCAAUGACGCGGUGAAUACGUUCC